AAGGAUUUAAGUUAAAUAAACUUUUAGCCUUCAAAGCUAAGAAUGAAGAUAAAAUUCUUUAAGCCUUA
rnacentral:tRNA from 1 species